AUGGAAAAACAAAAGGUCAAGAAUUUCAAGGGAAUUAAUGAAAAAAAAAAUCAAAUGAAGGUGGCCUAGCUGUACCAAAUCUAAAUUUAUAUUAUAAAGCAGCGGUUACUAAAACCAUCUGGCAUUGGCUAAGAAACAGACUAGUUGAUGAAUAGAAUAGGUUAGGUUCAAAGGACAAAACAGCCAAUAACUUUAAUAAUACAGUGUUUGACAAACCCAAAGAUCCCAGUUUUUGCAAUAAGAACACAUUAUUUGACAAAAAUUGCUGGGAAAAUUAGAAAUUAGUAUGGCAGAAACUAGGCAUUGACCCACACUUACCACCGUACACCAAGAUAAGGUCAAAAUGGGUUCAUAACCUAGGCAUAGAGAAUGAGAUUAUAAAUAAAAUUGGCAGAGCAUAGGAUAGUUUACCUGUCAGACCUGUGGAAGACAGAGGAAUUUAUGACCAAAGAAGAACUAGAGAUCACUAUUGACCACAAAAUAGAAAAUUUUGAUUAUAUCAAAUUGAAAAGUUUUUGUACAAACAAAACAAAUGCAGACAAGAUUAGAAGUGAAACAAUAAACUGGGAAAACAUUUUUACAGUCAAAGGUUCUGAUAAAGGCCUCAUUUCCAAAAUAUAUAGAGAAUUAUCUAAUUUAUAAGAAAUCAAGCCAUUCUCCAAUUGAUAAAUGGUCAAAGGAUAUGAAUAGGCAAUUUUCAGAUGAUGAAAUUGAAACUAUUACCACUCAUAUGAAAGAGUGUUCCAAAUCAUUAUUAAUCAGAGAAAUGCAAAUUAAGACAACUCUGAGAUACCAUUACACACCUGUCAGAUUGGCUAGAAUGACAGGGAAAGAUAAUGUGGAAUGUUGGAGGGGAGGUGGGAAAACAGGGACACUGAUACAUUGUUGGUUGAAUUGUGAAUAUAUCCAGCCAUUCUGGAGAGCAAUUUGGAACUAUGCUCAAAAAGUUAUCAAACUGUGCAUACCCUUUGAUCCAGCAGUGUUUCUACUGGGCUCAUACCCCAAAGAGAUACUAAAGGAGGGAAAGGGACUUGUAUGUGCCAAAAUAUUUGUGGCAGCCCUGUUGGUAGUGGCUAGACGCUGGAAAAUGAAUGGAUGCCCAUCAAUUGGAGAAUGGUUGAGUAAAUUGUGGUAUAUGAAUGUUAUGUAAUAUUGCUCUGUAAAGAAUGACCAACAGGAUGAAUACAGAGAGGACUAGCGAGACUUGCAUGAACUGAUGCUGAGUGAAAUGAGCAGAACCAGGAGAUCAUUAUAUACCUCAACAAUAAUACUGUUCGAGGAUGUAUUCUGAUGGAAGUGGAUCUCUUCAUUAAAGAGAGCAAAUUCUGUUUCAAUUGAUCAAGCAUGAACAGAAGCAACUACACCCAAAGAAAGAACACUGGAAAAUGAAUGUAAACUGCUUGCAUUUUUGUUUUUCUUCCCGGGUUAUUUCUACCUUCUGAAUCCAACUCUUCCUGUGCAACAAGAAAACUGUUCGGUUCUGCACACAUAUAUUGUAUCUAGGAUAUACUGUAACCCAUUUAACAUGUAAAGGACUGCUUGCCAUCUGUGGGAGGGGAUGGAGGGAGGGAGGAGAAAAAUCUGAACAGAUGUGAGUGCAAGGGAUAAUACUGUAAAAAAUUACCCUGGCAUGGGUUCUGUCAAUAAAAAGUUAUUUUAAAAAAUUAAAAUUAAAAAUAAACAAAUAUCCCCCUCCCCAAAAACAAAACAAAACAAACAAACAAACAAAAAAAAAAAAAACCAAAGUUCUGUUUACCAUUUGAAUCUCCCUUCUUAUCAUUACUCCCUAUUUUUCUUUGAAGUCUCCCUUUUUGCUCUAUCCCUGCUACUUUUUCUUUGCUUCUUACCCUCAUUCUUUAUUUAAGUCAAAACUUUAAAUUUAUUUUCCUUAUCUUCUCCUUACUUUCCUAAUUUUAUUCCAUAUACCCAUGAAAAAGCCCUAAUUUCAUCCUACCCCUCAGGUUUGUUUGUUUGUUUUUUUAACCUUGGGGAGCAACUGGGAUUAAGUGACAUGUCCAGAAA